rnacentral:lncRNA from 1 species
AGGAUCUGCUGUGGGGAGCCAUGGAGAAGGCCUUGGCCUACAGAGCUGCAGUCUAAUCUCCCAUAGAAGGCCUCUCUGCACUCCCAGCUACAACCACCACCAAGCCCAAGCCUGCUGCCCAUCAAGCCAAGGACACCCACCUGGAAUCAGCUGGAACUCCCGCCUUUGUCUCCUGAACCCAGGCUAGAUCCAGCCUUUGGGGGCCCAGAUUCUGUUCUCAGCUCUUCCAAGACUUCCUGAGGUGCCUGGGUGUCCAAGAACCUGGGAACCACAUGGCCCCAGC